GGAGCCUGAGGAGCCAGUGGGCAAAAGUAAAGAGUCAUCAAAGCAGUCUGAGGUAAGAGACACUGGCCCACACAUUUCCCAGGUAGCCUACCCCACACAUUCCCCACACAUUCCCCAGGUAACCUACCCCACACAUUCCCCACACAUUCCUCAGGUAGCCUACCCCACACAUUCCCCACACAUUCCCCAGGUAGCCUACCCCACACAUUCCCCAGGUAGCGGCGUCAUCAAAGCAGACUGAGGGUAGGCUACCACACCGUGAUAAGGUAGCCCCUCCUUUUCCCCAAUCCGCCUGACCCUCCCCGCAACAUGUAAACUGAUAUUGAGCAGUAUUUUUCUCCUACACAUGCACAAACACUGACAGCUUACACUUCCUGGUCACGCACAAAGUCUUUCCCCCAUGACACUGGAGCACCCUGACAUUGGCUAAUUCACUCCCUGAUUGGCUAAUUCACUCCCUGAUUGGGCAGGGGUGGUUUUCAUCCCCAUUUUAAAUAAUUGUAUGUAUUGUAGUGUUAUUAUUUAAUUAUGAAUAUUUAAUUAGUAGUGAUCUGUGUGUUAAGUGAUGUUUCCAAUGUAUGUUUAAGUUCGUCAAUGUCUGUAUUGUCAAUGUGUAACUGUGUUGGAAAGAUCCCCUGCUGUGUUGGUAUCUACCAAUUUAGGCCAAUUGGUUGACUUUAUUAAAGCCAGGAUUUUUCUGCUAGUAGAGGCUUGAAGUAUUGGAGAAGCAGGCCAUGUGGCAGCUUGCUGUGAGGCUGCCUAAGUAUUGAACAUUAAUUGCUAUUGCUGUUGUCCUCGUCGCUACAUCCUGUGUGGAUUUGGACCGCAAGUACCAUAUUUUCAUACCCACACACUCCCCCGAUAGUCAUCAAAGCAGUCUGAGAGAAACGUGAUUCCUCUGAGAUCUCAUUCCUCGGAAGGACACACACCUUUAGAGCCGAGAUCUCCCUCCACUGGAUGCCUGUGGUGCCAGAGAUCAUAACCUCGUGUGUGGCCUCCUGCUCAGCGCCAUCCUCCACGUCCCCCUGCACCCGGGAGUCGCUCAGGUAAGAGCCGCUGCUGUCGCCGUCCUUCUUCAGUGCCAGGCGGACCGCGACGAAUGUCUCUGUGCCGAAGCGGGGCGCCAGGUUCUCCAGGGUGGCCAGGUACUUGUACAUGACUUCCUGGGGGCCCAGCUUGCCCUGGGCCACGGUGUGCUGCUGGAAGCUCCGCACGAACUCUGCGAAGACGCGGCGGAUUCGCAGCUUGGUGAGGAAGUUGUCGCGCGAGAUGUGCCGGGAGAAGGAACGCGGGAUGCAGCGCAGGUAGCUGGGAAGAAUGGGUGACACCAAGCAGACACCAGUCAGUGCUUUUUCCAAACAGAGCUCCGUAAAGUAAAACCAGAAUUGCAAUUAAUUUCAAUUCGAAUUGGUACUGUUUAGUCUAGUUCCAGUGGAUUCAUUUGAUGAUUUGAACUGACUGAAAACAUUAAAAAUGCUGUGUUGGAAACAUUAAA